ACUUUUUAAUGAAAAAGGUAUAAUACGUCAUUUAAAUUCAUUCUGGGAAUACCCGAAGGUGCUAUAAUCAUAACAAACACGCAGGUGCGAUUCUUACCUGUACACGCAACGCAUCCACACCCUGGUGGCAAACGUUGUAACCCUCAGUCAACAAUAAUGGCGAUUUAAGUGAAAAGUGAGUGAAAAUAAAAAUUGUUUUUCUAAUGUUAUUUUCAAUUUGCACAAGAAAAUUCAUAGUGUACGGUCAUCAGGGCACUCAGAGGAAUCGUUUGGCGUAAGUUUCAGCUUGAAAAUCCAGAAGUAGUUAAUCAAAGUUUUAUCUGAGUUAAUAUUCUGUGGUGUGUAAUCAAUCGUAAAGUGUCGUCCAAAACUUAAAAUUUCGGAAAAGCAAAAAUUUGAGGGAAACAUCUCGAAAAUGAGGUUAGUUGUCAAAAGUGUUUAAAAUUCAACAAUAAUCUAUGGCAAGCGGUUAAAAACUGAUGAUAAAGAGUGUGUAAAGUGUAUUUUUUCAAAUACAGUUUGUGUUUUUGUGAAUCGAUCAAAUGGUUAUCGCGAAUAUCUCCAAAAAUGCGGUUGAGUGUCAAAUAUUGUUUUCAAAUAAAUUGUAAAAAAUUGGUGGAAAUAAGAAACCAGGAGUGAUUCAAAACGGAUAAAGUGGAUAUUUAAACUUUUUUAUUUACAUUUUUUCAAGUGUCGUUAUUUUAAAUGCAUUCCCGUUAUGCAAGUGUUUUAAAAUUUGCAAAGUGAAAGUGUCUGAUAAGUUUGUGUUACAUUUUUUAAGAGCCGCUUAAAUUUUCGUAAAGUUGUCUAGAAUCUGUGAUUACUAAAUCCAUGAAAAAAUUUAAGAAAAAAUAGUGAAAAUCCAAUUUAAUUCGGUUGUGAAAAUGUAAAAAUUAAAUGUGAUGUUUGGUGCAUUGACGCGUUUUUUUCCGAAGAACAGUUCUCCCAGGAAAUUGCAGCAUCAACGAGUCAAGGUAUUUGGGGUCAACAGUGUCAUCGAUAGUCCCCGAACAAUUUCAAAGACAAUUAGUAGAAAUACAGAAUAAAUCAACCACGAGUGAUUGGAAAGUGGGGGAUGGUCAAGAAUCACGGAAAUUUGACACUGGAAAAGGGCAUUUACUGGGUGGUAAAUCUGGGGGUGUUUGAGACUCAAGAAUCCCUUAAUAGAUCAAUUUGACGAGAAAAUCUCGAAAUUUAGGGCAGCUGUAAAAUUUGGUGCCUUUCGAAAAUUACGCAGAAAAAGAAGACUACAACCAGGGUUGAGGAGGUACCAACAGAUUCAAAAGGAACAAAGGAACAUUAAAUUAAAUUCAAUUAACCACAGACGAGGUGUUCCAGUGUUGCUAAGCAACGAAAUGACACGAAGAAAGUAGAGUUCCUUUAUUGGGAGAGUUGGGACACUGAACGUCAAACC